AAAAAAAAAAACUAGGGCUUCCGUUGCCUUCUAAAACCAGCACCUCUCUAUAAGCUCUAUAAUCUUGUAUCUUGUCCUUCAACUAUAUAAAUGUUAAUCUGCUCGCGACGGCAGAGUGAAGAGUACCUCCUAAAGCUGAGUCCGGUUGGGGUUGAGAAAUAUACAACUACACAGAAAUAAACAAAAAAUUGAGAGAUGAUAAAAUUAAGCAAUUCUUGCAACUGUUAUAAAAACACAUUUCUAAAAAACUUACAUCUCCAUAGAAACAUCAAUGGUGGAAAAUAAACAUCUAAAUUCAUUAAGUAGUCACAACCAUUAAAAAAGAAUAAUGAGAGAACUGACUAUAAGAUGAAUUCCGCAGUAUAUGUGAUCCCAAUAUUUAUAAUCAUGUCAAAUACAGAAUUCUUUUAGCUCAAGUUUAAUCACCUGCAAAGUGUCAGCCAGCUUGUUUAGAUCAAGUUCACCAUCCUUUGCAUGCUUUAUCAAAGCGAUAAAUUUCUUAGUCAAUAGACCUGAGAAGCACCGCGCAUACCAAUCAUCAGAGUCUUACCUGCUCAACAAUGUCCUUCAAGGAGAUGUCAGAACUCCCAAUUCACUGGUAGCUGGUAAGCAUGCAUUUAGUACAGGUUGAAAGACUAUAUACUGAUAAACUAAUUCUUGGUUCAACACAUAUUCACAAGUAUAUUGCCAUUAAAUGUAACAGUUCAUCAGAUAAUAAAACAGAAAAAUAAAACUAAUUACAAGUUAAAAUUUUAUCAUCAUGCACAUGCUAACAACAAGUUUCAAAGAACUACAGCAGCUACACAUAUAUUCCUACCUCUCCUGCAGCACAUGUAAAACCCACUCGUGUUCUCAAUCAGGCCUGUCUGGAAGUUGUGGAAAUUUCAAAAUGGAAGUAUGAUAUGUCUUUAUAGUUUAUACUAUGACCAUGGCCCACUGUAACCUUUUUCUAGGUGUCAUCCUCUUCUCGCAUUACAGGACAUGAGAAGGCUUAGGGUGACUCAAAUUGAUAAACAGUAUUGGCAUAAUUAACUAUUCCUCUAAUUUAUAUGAUAAUGGAAAAAUAAGUUGAGUGAAUAAACUAACAAUUUUCGCUCAUGCAAUAAGAAUACUGAAGCUGAUCAUGCUUCCUAUUUAACCAAUCUGUUAGGAAAUGAGAAGGUGAUGCAAUUAAGCUGCUCACAAGCUAUGAAAAAAUGCGUAGUUUAGAGAUAUUCAAGCAAACAUAAAACUAAAUAAACUUAC
rnacentral:lncRNA from 1 species